rnacentral:piRNA from 1 species
UACAGACUAAGUGUAAGCAUGUGGG